rnacentral:rRNA from 1 species
GACGGAGGGUGCAAGCGUUGUUCGGAAUUACUGGGCGUAAAGGGCGCGUAGGCGGCCUCCGCAAGUCAGUUGUGAAAUCUCCGAGCUUAACUCGGAAAGGUCAACUGAUACUGCGGGGCUAGAGUGCGGAAGGGGCAACUGGAAUUCUUGGUGUAGCGGUGAAAUGCGUAGAUAUCAAGAGGAACACCUGCGGCGAAGGCGGGUUGCUGGGCCGACACUGACGCUGAGGCGCGAAAGCUAGGGGAGCAAACAGG